CUUAUAUUACACACAAAUUAUGGAAGAGUUUAAUCAAAGGAGAUAGGUUAUUCUUUAGCAUCAUCUCUUUCCUAACAGUUAAACC
rfam:Myotis lucifugus cont2.6754, whole genome shotgun sequence.